GAUGAACGCUGGCGGCGUGCCUAACACAUGCAAGUCGAGCGACCAGAUAAUGAGCUUUUUCUUUUGACGUUAGCGGCUGACGGGUGAGUUACACGUGGAUCACCUUCCUCUAUUUCUUGGAUAAUUUCGUGAAACCGCAUCCACUACCAGAUAACAUAUUGUACCGCUUAGUUCAAUAGUUAUUCGCGGCUUUCCUGUCACUUUUAGCUGAUUUCGCGCCGUAUUAGUUAGUUGGUAAGGUAACGGCUUACCAAGGCGACGAUACGUAGCCGACCUGAGAGGGUGAUCAGCCACACUGGAACUGAGACACGGUCCAGACUCCUACGGGAGGCAGCAGUAGGGAAUAUUCCGCAAUGGGCGAAAGCCUGACGCAGCAACGCCGCGUGAGUGAAGAAGGUCUUCGGAUCGUAAAGCUCUGUUAUCGGGGAAGAACAGAUGUAGAAGUAUAUGUGCACAUCUUGACGGUACCUGAUCAAAAAGCAACGGCUAACUACGUG
rnacentral:rRNA from 1 species